GCUCUGCAGGAGGAGUAGUGAAUGUAUCGCUGAGGAAUGUACAGAAAGUCUCCCCGCCCCCAGUUUCAGGAGUCCUCGCUAUGGACAAAUUCCAUAGGGGGCCAAAAAACUGACAUAAAGUUUCAGACUAGACUGCAUCCUAUAUGUGGGAAGAUUGCUGCGGUUAAUGUCAGUGCAGGAACAAGAACUGACAAAAAUCGAUCUGGUGAAACACAGUCUGGGAUAUUUCUAGAGAGAAAGAGACAGAAAGAGGAGAGGAGAGGGGAGGCAGAUUGUUUAAGUAAAACGCAGCUUAUAGCCCAACUUUGAGCUGUUGGCCUCACUCCAAGAUGUAGAUAGUCUACGUCGCCAGGCGCGAGGCUCCUUUACAAAAAGCCCGUAGGCUACACUGAAACAAGGAAUCCUGGUUUCCGAUGACUCUCGCCAUGACACCCGUGUCAUCUGUAAGUUUUCACUCAAGACAGGAAACUCGUAUCAUGACUAACCCUC